rnacentral:ncRNA from 24 species
UUAAAUGAUGACAAUUUGUUAACGUGGCUCGAAGAUUAUUCGAUGUGAGCACAUGAUUUCUCAAUAGACUACAACGGUAUCUGAUU